rnacentral:rRNA from 1 species
AUUGAACGCUGGCGGCAGGCCUAACACAUGCAAGUCGAACGGUAACAGGAAACAGCUUGCUGUUUCGCUGACGAGUGGCGGACGGGUGAGUAAUGUCUGGGAAACUGCCUGAUGGAGGGGGAUAACUACUGGAAACGGUAGCUAAUACCGCAUAACGUCGCAAGACCAAAGAGGGGGACCUUCGGGCCUCUUGCCAUCGGAUGUGCCCAGAUGGGAUUAGCUUGUUGGUGGGGUAACGGCUCACCAAGGCGACGAUCCCUAGCUGGUCUGAGAGGAUGACCAGCCACACUGGAACUGAGACACGGUCCAGACUCCUACGGGAGGCAGCAGUGGGGAAUAUUGCACAAUGGGCGCAAGCCUGAUGCAGCCAUGCCGCGUGUAUGAAGAAGGCCUUCGGGUUGUAAAGUACUUUCAGCGGGGAGGAAGGGAGUAAAGUUAAUACCUUUGCUCAUUGACGUUACCCGCAGAAGAAGCACCGGCUAACUCCGUGCCAGCAGCCGCGGUAGUACGGAGGGUGCAAGCGUUAAUCGGAAUUACUGGGCGUAAAGCGCACGCAGGCGGUUUGUUAAGUCAGAUGUGAAAUCCCCGGGCUCAACCUGGGAACUGCAUCUGAUACUGGCAAGCUUGAGUCUCGUAGAGGGGGGUAGAAUUCCAGGUGUAGCGGUGAAAUGCGUAGAGAUCUGGAGGAAUACCGGUGGCGAAGGCGGCCCCCUGGACGAAGACUGACGCUCAGGUGCGAAAGCGUGGGGAGCAAACAGGAUUAGAUACCCUGGUAGUCCACGCCGUAAACGAUGUCGACUUGGAGGUUGUGCCCUUGAGGCGUGGCUUCCGGAGCUAACGCGUUAAGUCGACCGCCUGGGGAGUACGGCCGCAAGGUUAAAACUCAAAUGAAUUGACGGGGGCCCGCACAAGCGGUGGAGCAUGUGGUUUAAUUCGAUGCAACGCGAAGAACCUUACCUGGUCUUGACAUCCACGGAAGUUUUCAGAGAUGAGAAUGUGCCUUCGGGAACCGUGAGACAGGUGCUGCAUGGCUGUCGUCAGCUCGUGUUGUGAAAUGUUGGGUUAAGUCCCGCAACGAGCGCAACCCUUAUCCUUUGUUGCCAGCGGUCCGGCCGGGAACUCAAAGGAGACUGCCAGUGAUAAACUGGAGGAAGGUGGGGAUGACGUCAAGUCAUCAUGGCCCUUACGACCAGGGCUACACACGUGCUACAAUGGCGCAUACAAAGAGAAGCGACCUCGCGAGAGCAAGCGGACCUCAUAAAGUGCGUCGUAGUCCGGAUUGGAGUCUGCAACUCGACUCCAUGAAGUCGGAAUCGCUAGUAAUCGUGGAUCAGAAUGCCACGGUGAAUACGUUCCCGGGCCU